rnacentral:rRNA from 1 species
UNUGCUGUGAAAGGCCGGGGCUUAANUCCGGUUUUGCAGUGGGUACGGGCUAACUAGAGUGCAGUAGGGGAGACUGGAAUUCCUGGUGUAGCGGUGGAAUGCACAGAUAUCAGGAGGAACACCGAUGGCGAAGGCAGGUCUCUGGGCUGUAACUGACGCUGAGAAGCGAAAGCAUGGGGAGCGAACAGGAUUAGAUACCCUGGUAGUCCAUGCCGUAAACGUUGGGCACUAGGUGUGGGGGACAUUCCACGUUUUCCGCGCCGUAGCUAACGCAUUAAGUGCCCCGCCUGGGGAGUACGGCCGCAAGGCUAAAACUCAAAGGAAUUGACGGGGGCCCGCACAAGCGGCGGAGCAUGCGGAUUAAUUCGAUGCAACGCGAAGAACCUUACCAAGGCUUGACAUGCAUUAGAUCGCGUCAGAGAUGGCGUUUCCCUUCGGGGCUGGUGUACAGGUGGUGCAUGGUUGUCGUCAGCUCGUGUCGUGAGAUGUUGGGUUAAGUCCCGCAACGAGCGCAACCCUCGUUCUAUGUUGCCAGCGGUUCGGCCGGGGACUCAUAGGAGACUGCCGGGGUCAACUCGGAGGAAGGUGGGGAUGACGUCAAAUCAUCAUGCCCCUUAUGUCUUGGGCUUCACGCAUGCUACAAUGGCCGGUACAGAGGGUUGCGAUACUGUGAGGUGGAGCUAAUCCCUUAAAGCCGGUCUCAGUUCGGAU